UACAGAGGGUGCAAGCGUUGUUCGGAAUUAUUGGGCGUAAAGCGCGUGUAGGCAGCUUUGCAAGUCGGGUGUGAAAGCCCUCAGCUCAACUGAGGAAGUGCGCCCGAAACUGCAGAGCUUGAGUACCGGAGAGGAUGGCGGAAUUCCCCAGAUGAGAGGUGAAAUUCGUAGAUAUGGGGAGGAACACCGGUGGCGAAGGCGGCCAUCUGGACGGAUACUGACGCUGAGACGCGAAAGCGUGGGGAGCAAACAGG
rnacentral:rRNA from 1 species